GGUGGACUGGAGGCCAGGAUAUGGAAUUGCAUGCGGAAGCUUUUUUUGAAAUGAUGAUUUAUUGCUUGAUAGGGACGAAGCUUUUUCAGAUAAACGAACAACUUUGCUGCGUACUAUCACAAUCGAAAUGGUACAAAUGGGACGUAUGUUCUCAGAAGAUAUUUUUGAAUUUGUUGAAUUCAUCCAUGAAUUUAAAAGAAUUGUGGAUUGGACCUCUAGCACCGUUAUCGGUUGUUUCUUUGAUACAGAUGGUUAAGAGCAUUUAUACGUACUACACUUUUUUGUCGGAAGCGGUAUAAUUCAUUUACUCGAUCGAUUUACUCGAUUUACACAAAUAUGUUACAGGCUAAGAGUCAAUGAGUCAAUUUGUAAAUAAAAUUCACGCAAAAUAAAAAUUUGGAUCUUGCUUAAGAAC